CUUCCCCUCCCGCAUGUGGCUCCUCAGGCAGAGCCUGCGCCUCCUCCAUCGGCAGCGCUCGGCAUCCCCUCGUCCGCAUCCACAGCCACGGUGCCAAGGCUCGAAGGGGGCAACCUGCACGGCACACACCUGGAUCUGCCCCCACACUGGCCCAUGAGGGACCACGAGCCCGUUCCUGAACCCCCGUGCGUUUUCCUCAGCGCCUUUCCCCCGGCCUGGGCCGAGGCGGGGGCAGCUGCGAGCGGCGGAGUUCCAGGCGGGCAGAAGAUGGCAGCAGCAGCCCAGCAACCGCGCUGCUUCACUGGGCAGGGAUUGCCUUUCUCCGGGAAUACCGAGUAUUUUCACCCCUCUGGACUUCAGGAUUGUGAUCAAGGCACGAGAGACACCGCGCACGGACCGGGAAACCAAAGGAGACGGCUCAGCAUGAAGAGCUCGGUGCGAGAAGGACCACGUAAGGUCACUGGGAUGGGACUUACAACAUCUUCCAGCUCUGCUGCUGCUUCUCCUCCUAAAGAUCUUGGCCGAGUCACCUGUGUGUCAAUUCAGUGUCCACCCUUGUUAAAGGGAGUCCGAGACUCUCUGUUCUCCUUGGGACUGAGUAUCUCAUCCAUGUCACCGUGA
rnacentral:lncRNA from 1 species